rnacentral:sRNA from 23 species
UAUUAUACAGUGUCAAAAGGUCUUAGCCCACCUGUGCUUGCACAAAGGUGGGAAAAUGACCUUGAGACACGCUCCGAUAUGAGCAUAAAAGGGAAGCGUAAGCUUCACGAUAUGCGAAUAAUCGGGGAGGAUUGCGGGAGUGCGAAGUGCGGAGCAAUCCGUAUAAUA